UACGGGGGGAGCAAGCGUUGUUCGGAUUUACUGGGCGUAAAGGGCGCGUAGGCGGCGCAACAAGUCACUUGUGAAAUCUCCGGGCUUAACUCGGAAAGGUCAAGUGAUACUGUUGUGCUAGAGUGCGGAAGGGGCAACUGGAAUUCUCGGUGUAGCGGUGAAAUGCGUAGAUAUCGAGAGGAACACCUGCGGCGAAGGCGGGUUGCUGGGCCGACACUGACGCUGAUGCGCGAAAGCCAGGGGAGCGAACAGG
rnacentral:rRNA from 1 species